GCUGGGCAUGGUGGUGCAUGCCUGUCAUCCCAGCUACUCAGGAGGCUGAGGCAGGAGAAUCGCUUGAGCCUGGGAGGCAAAGGUUGCAGUGAGCCAAGAUCGUGCCACUGCACUCCAGCCUGGGCGACAGAGUGAGACUCUGUUUUUU
rnacentral:SRP_RNA from 1 species